rnacentral:rRNA from 1 species
UACGUAGGGGGCAAGCGUUGUCCGGAAUUAUUGGGCGUAAAGGGCGCGUAGGCGGCCAAUCAAGUCUGGUGUGAAAGUGCGGGGCUCAACCCCGUAAAGCAUUGGAAACUGGUUGGCUUGAGUGCAGGAGAGGAAAGUGGAAUUCCUAGUGUAGCGGUGAAGUGCGUAGAUAUUAGGAGGAACACCAGUGGCGAAGGCGACUUUCUGGACUGUAACUGACGCUGAGGCGCGAAAGCGUGGGGAGCGAACAGGAUUAGAUACCCUGGUAGUCCACGCCGUAAACGAUGAGUGCUAGGUGUAGAGGGUAUCGACCCCUUCUGUGCCGCAGUUAACACAAUAAGCACUCCGCCUGGGGAGUACGGCCGCAAGGUUGAA